GAAAAAGCAGAGCCGAGUAUUAUGAAAGCAAAAUGACUGCUGUCUACCUUAAUUAUGCACUAUAACAAUCCACUGUGUGCAGCAGUCCCACUGAAGUGGAUCACUGAACUGCUAAACUAUGCAAGUCUACGCCUAAGAUCUCUUAGCUACAAUGGUGCAUUUGCCUAUUGAGUGUUUAGAGCAGAGAGAUGAAAUCUACAUGUGAAAACUACUCAUCACUUUGAAGUUCCUGUGUUGGCAUGGAACUUGAGAUACUACCUUUACAAGAUAGUUGUUUAAAAGGCAGUGCUUACCAGGUGGCCCAGGAAGGAUGCACUGUUCAUAAAUUUUAAUAAACAUGUUAAGAAGAUGUGUGUAAAACACAACUGUGGAAUAUCAGCAAGAGAACACUAGCACAUUUAACACAGGAAGAAAUGAUAUAUUUAAUUUACAGUUUAGCCUAUAGUCACAUGGAUCUAAGUGACUGAGUUAUUUGGCGUGGUGCACUCAUUAACUAAUCCAUUACUGCCUGCAAAGGUUGGCCCCAUGACGCUCAAGGCUGAAAUGCUUAUCCAGACACGGCCUGAGGUAACACCAGAGCACCAUUACCAGCAGCUACAGGAUGGUAUCUCUCAUUGGUCAAGAGAUGAGUCAACACAGGCAGGCAGGAAAGGGAGCAAACCAGACUCACAGACACUCCAGAGGCUGUUCUUUCAACACAGCAUAGAUGCAGUCACCCACUUCAGCCAAAUUUUGAUCAGGUGAUCAUCAAGAAUCCUUAUGAGCCUGCUCUGAAGGCCACUGAACUCACGGACAGACUUUGCAUUCACUUCAGAGGCCUCAGAUCAAGCUGUUCUGCAUUAAAAAUAAAUGAAGAGAAAUCUAAAACAAAUGUCAUCGGCCAAGUGAUUCUUCACACAGAAGACACUGACUGAAUAUAAACAAUGGAAUUAUGGACAGACAGUAAUAUAUAGGAAAAAAAAAACAACACAAUUUUAAAUAUUCUUUUAAAACAAGCUAAAUAUUCCCUACUGGAUCCAAGACUGGCAUUUCUGUGGUCCUUCCUGAAGUGUUCUAGGCUACCUGAAGCAGACUUUUCUGUGUAGACUUUUCUUUCCUGGCAUGAUAAUGUGUGUUGAAGGGAAACGGGAAUUUGGAAAGGUCUCAAGGACCCAUAAACAGCUAUCAGAAGAUAAAGCUAUGCUGUCAGUAGGGACAUGCCCUCAUUGUGGUUUCAAGACAGGGAGGUAAUAACAAGGAUGGAGAAACGUAGAUUCUGUAGCAGGAUGGUCUGGAAUGCAAGAGUAUUCCUUUCUUUUACUGCUUAACUCUGUAAGGUCAAAGUCCUGUUGGAAAAAUCAGAAAUCACUACCAUUUCUUUUCUUUUCCUUUCCUUUCUGUUGCUUCUCUUCUAUGAAGAAAUGUUCACAGUAAUAAAAAUCAACACCAUCUCUGUCAUCAUGCGCACCACUGAAUACUAACAGUCCAAGAGGGACACAGUGGUACAGUUCUUGAGUUCAUCAGUCUUUAAGGGGAAGCAGCACUGUCAAUUUCUAAUCCUGGAGGCCACUACAUAAAUUCUCACUGAAAAUCCCAACAUGCCUAUUAACAAUGAAUGCUGAAGACUGUCUUAUUUAGAAAGUCCUGUCACUCUUUCUAUAUCUACAAAGCAGCAAAUGGUCCAGCGUGUCUGUUGGUAAUUCCCAUGGGAAAUCUGGUCUGAUGAAAUCUAUUUAUUUGUUGUAUUAAGCAGGCAACACACUGCAAAUUGAGAACCUGUUUGCUGCCGAGGGUGGCAACUGCUGUAACAAUAGGAAUGCUACUGUAUUCCUGAUACUGUAUGCUGAUGUAGGAAGCACACUCAGCCCAGGACUCGGGCAGAAAGCUUUCUGUGUGACCCCUGACAUUGUCACUUCUCUGAAUUUCAGUUACAGUUACCCACUAGGACUUAGGCUUCAAAGACUUAAAAUUAUGUCACUUAGCCCCCAUUGAAUUCAGUAGGAUUAAUGAUUUAACCAAAGUUAAGCACAUGCUUAAGUCUUUGCUAGGUCAGAGCUUAAAAUACCACUGUUAUCAGUACUGUCUAAGUAUCUUCAAGGAUAUUUUAAAGAGAGCCCUUAUGAACUAUAGGAAGUCUUCUAUUAACUUGAAUGAACUUUUAGCUCACGAUUUCUGUGCAAAAAAGCCUUUUUCCUUGAUUAAUAGCUUAUAAGUCUUCUAAAUCUCCUCAGCUUCCACUUAAAGAGCUAUAAAUAACAAAAUUAUACUAACAUGCAGGUUUUUUUGUAGCAUUAGAUAAUCAGAGGGGAUUCCCUGAUACCAACAUAUCCUACUACCCACUUGGUAUGCAUUCCUUAAAAGUGCAACAGUGAUUUGACAGAGAGCAAAACAAAUUUUCCUAUAAGAAUUAAUUUAAGGGUGUUGGGUGGGAUGUGAGCUGAAGAAUUACACCGUUUAAAUUUACCCAAGGACAGUAUGUUACAACAUAUGAUCUUGCUGAUUCAUAUCCCAGUAUCUCGGUCUAAAAAAUAAUUAAAAAAAAAAAUAGUAGGAAGAAUUUUCCAUGGUUUUUUUUUUUCAUGUUUUUAUGUGAAGCAUCAGUAGUGAUCUGGCAUACCAGAGCUUGAAGAUGACAAGGAUGAUAGAAGACUGCUGGUUCCAGCAGCAAUCUUGCCUGUGAGAAGAGAGAGAAAUGGGCUCCAAAUGUUCAUGUAAGAAGCAUGCCCGGUGAAGGCAUCCAAUUGGUAACAGCACAAAUGAAUAACAUUGAAAAUCACAGACUGCCUUCCAGCAGAACCUCCGGAGCUUGGAAGAUCAUCAAGGCCAUUGGGGAUGGAAUGACCUGAGCAGAAGCCACAAAAGAAGAGCUUUCUGGUAAUGUUCCAGGAACAGAAACAAGAGUUUCAGAAGUUUGUGAAAA